rnacentral:rRNA from 1 species
UACGUAGGGUGCAAGCGUUGUCCGGAAUUAUUGGGCGUAAAGAGCUCGUAGGCGGUUUGUUGCGUCGGCUGUGAAAUCCCGAGGCUCAACCUCGGGUCUGCAGUCGAUACGAGCAAACUAAAGUGUUGCAGGGGAGACUGGAAUUCCUGGUGUAGCGGUGAAAUGCGCAGAUAUCAGGAGGAACACCGGUGGCGAAGGCGGGUCUCUGGGCAGUAACUGACGCUGAGGAGCGAAAGCGUGGGGAGCGAACAGG